rnacentral:lncRNA from 1 species
AUAGCCGCACUGAGCUCCUUGAGAGUGUACUACUAGUGCCCAAACUUUAAGUGAGAAGCCUUGUGGACGGCCGAUGAGGCCUGCUCCACCAACUAGAUCUCAUUGUUCCCAACCAAUGAUCGACUACCAAUGCUGUGCCCCAGGAAGGUGAUUCCAUGAUACUUUUAGGUUUCCACAUGGAUUUCUAAAGAUAGGGAGGAGAAUAGAUGGCUAGGAAUGAAUAGGAAAGGAGUUUCAGAGGGUGAAGGACUUGGGG